rnacentral:lncRNA from 1 species
GUUGAAUAGGGGGUUCACAGUUGACAACCAAGAUGAAGGCAAAUGACUCCCUUUCUCUCUGGCCGUGAAGUCCUUUGCUCUUUCGUUCUCAUGGUUGAUGUGGAGUGAGAUGUGAAUAAUGCUCUUUUCCUUCUCUGUUUUAUCUCCUUUGUCGCCAACGCUUGAGAAAUUGAUUUUUCCUUGUUUUCUUCUUUCUGCGAUUGUGGAUUUGUUGGAUACCUUCUUGUAGAUGAAUGGCAGCUGCCACCACAGAUGAUGGACGAAGGUCGAAGAUGACGGUAAAUAGAGAUUGCUUAUUUUGCCGAGGAGGUUAGACGCAACCAGCGG